rnacentral:rRNA from 1 species
AACUUUCAACAACGGAUCUCUUGGUUCUGGCAUCGAUGAAGAACGCAGCGAAAUGCGAUAAGUAGUGUGAAUAGCAGAAUUCAGUGAAUCAUCGAAUCUUUGAACGCACAUUGCGCCCUUUGGUAUUCCAAAGGGCAUGCCUGUUCGAGCGUCAUUU